ACAUUUACUACAUCGUUUUAUUUUAUAUUUAAUUAUAUUAAGAUUAUAUGUACCAGUACAUCAAUUGAUAAAAUGCAUAGGCAAAAUUUGUGAUUUGCAUUUUUUUUUGCAAGAUAGAUGUAUACAUGUAGUAUUUUUUUUUCAUAACUUCAUUACAAACUUUUAAAAAUUUUGAAUUCAUAACUAGAGGAGUUUGUGUAUUUAAUUUUAAAAGAAAUUCUAUAGGCGAUCAGAAAUUUAAUUUUCAGCUAAAGGACUGUUGUUUUGUGCGUCAUUAAUUGAUUGUUAUUUAUUCUUUGAGGCAUUCAUAUCUCUCUUUUGUGUCAGGGAUAUUUCCUUUAUGUCAUGAAAUUGUUAUUAAUAAUUUUAUUCAUGAAAGAGUUGUAAAUUAUGUAAGUACAAGAUGGUGCAAUACAAUGGGGAUGGAUGUUCAGUCUUUUAUGUUAUAUGCCAUAAAUAUUUGAUGUAAAAUUUAUAUUUCUGUGAACAAAUUUGAUGUUAAACUUGUAAAUCAAUCUUUAGAAGAUGUACAUCAACCCAAAUUUGAUUAUUAUAAAAAGUUCAAAUAUUGAUUGUUUUUAAAUAUAUUGAAACUAAUAAAACCAGCAAGAUUCACUUAAAAAUAGCAUUAUAGGUACAUGUACUUAAGAAUAAGGAAAUUUCCUUUUGUUUUCAUCCUAUAGUUUGUUAUUUAAAAGAACAAAAUAGAUAUUUAUUUUUGGUUUUUAAAGUGGCUGUGUUAUAUUUGCUUACAUGUUAUGAAGUCACAUUCUUGAUGAAUGGUAUAUACAAUCACUUGCAUGCAAAUAAAAUACACAACAAAUUUAC
rnacentral:misc_RNA from 1 species